CCCCACCUCCCUGAAGCUGGCUGAUGCAGCUCACUGAUGUCUGUGUAGAUAGGGAGUUGUGACGACAGCAAGAGGUCAGGACACAUCCAGACUCCUCGAGGGAAGGCCUCUUUCUGUUUUUGAAACUUUUCAAAGCCAGAGACUUGUCCAGUCCAGUCUCCCCACUGCUCCCAACUCCUGAUGCUCAGCGCCCUUGGCUUCUGUCCGGCCCUGCUCAUGGUCCUGCGGGGUUGCCACUGCUCAGCCAUGCUCCCGCUGCUCGUCGCAGUGCUCGAGAUGAUUUUUAUCCUGGGAGGAACCAGAGCCCAGUCUGUGACCCAGCUUGACAGCCAAGUCCCUGUCUCUGAAGGAACCGCUGUGGAGCUGAGGUGCAACUACUCAUUUUCUUUUUCACUGUCUCUCUUCUGGUAUGUGCAAUACCCCAACCAAGGACUCCAGCUUCUCCUGAAGUAUGCAUCAGGACCCACCCUGGUCAAAGGCAUCAACGGUUUUGAGGCUGAAUUUAAGAAGAAUGAGACCUCCUUCCACUUGAGGAAACCCUCAGCCCAUAUAAGCGACGCGGCUGAGUACUUCUGUGCUGUGAAUGCCACAGUGCCUGAGACUGCAGGAGAGCUGAACGCAAACCCCCUGAGAUGCUGAGACUUUCUGUGACUAAAGAACUCAACCUGGGAACUUUUCAAGAAGCUAUCUCUUUUUCUGUGCCCCUUUGAAGGCAUAUAGGGCGGGGUAGGCUGAAUCCUUGAGAGUGUUUGUCUCCGGAAUAAUUGCUCCAAUGUCAAUGUCAUGCCACAUUCAAGAUACACUUUGUCCCACAGGGAGGUUUACUGAUGAAUUUCUUCAGGAGGGACCUCCUCCACACUCUGAAGAAAGUACAUCACAAGGUGUCAGAGCUCUGAAGUAAAAAGCAACAGCAUUUUUAUAACAAAAUUAUUUCUAGAAUUCAUUAUGAUUAGUAUUGCCUCAGUAUUAAUGGUAUAAUCCGUGAAUAAUUGAUGUGAUUGAUUAGAAUGUUAGCUAAAAGCUGUGCAGGAUAGAUUCUCAAUUAGGGCAACCCAUACAGCACAGAGUCUCAAUCAGCAUACUGUAGAUUCUCAACCUAGAUUUGAACCUUAACUUCUAGCACAUACAUCAUAUCUCACUGUGAGGUAUUGGCAUAUUUAAAGUAAAUUAGACAUAAUAUCAAGAUUUUUAAUCUUGUGAGCAUUAUGCAAAACAGGAAAUUAAACAUAAAUCUAAGUAAAAUAUUGAAAAACUAAGCCACUAAGUCGUGAUCCUUUUUGAAGCAACUAUUCCAGUGAUUUCCAGGUUACAAAUUUGAGGAAUAAAAAUGUAACCAAUAAAAAGAUAUCAAAUACACUAGAUUCAACUACUUUAAAACUUGAGGGAUUUUAUUUUAAGAGAUUACACAAAUUUAUUAUAUAAAAUUACACAACCAAAAUUUCCAGUUACAUUAUCAGAGAGUACAUUAAUUCUAAUAGGGGUAUCCAAGACCAGGGUACACUAUUAUUUACUUGGAAAUAAUUAUAUCAAAGAAACCAACAUGUUUAAGACAUUUUAUGUACGUGAUUAUGACUCAAAAUUUUUAUUUGUAGUUUGAUCACAUGGUAGAAUUUAAA